GACCUCGAAUCAGGUAGGAAUACCCGCUGAACUUAAGCAUAUCAAUAAGCGGAGGAAAAGAACCAACAGGGAUUGSCCCCAGUAACGGCGAGUGAAGCGGCAACAGCUCAAAUUUGAAUCUGGCUCUCGGGCCCGAGUUGUAAUUUGUAGAGGAUGCUUUUGGUGAGGUGCCUUCCGAGUUCCCUGGAACGGGACGCCAUAGAGGGUGAGAGCCCCGUCUGGUUGGACACCGAUCCUCUGUAAAGCUCCUUCGACGAGUCGAGUAGUUUGGGAAUGCUGCUCCUAAAAUGGGGAGGUAUAUGGGCUUU
rnacentral:rRNA from 1 species